rnacentral:snRNA from 1 species
UCCGGAACCGGGACGUGGCG